UUGACGGUACCCUACUAGAAAGGAGCCGCUAACUUCGUGCCAGAAGCGUCGGUAAUACGGGGGCUCCAAGCGUUAUCCGGUGUUAUUGGGCGUAAAGAGUCGUGUAGGUGGUUGGGUAAGUUAUCUUUCAAAUAUCUUUGCUUAACAAAGAGGAGGGGGAUAAUACUGCUCGACUAGAAUUUUCUCAAGGGAGAUCGGAACUGAGGGAGGAGUAGUGAAAUGCGUUGAUACCCUCGGGAACACCAGUGGCGUAGGCGGAUCUCUGGGAGAAGAUUGACACUGAGACACGAAAGCUAGGGGAGCGAAGCAGAUUAGAGACCUGCGUAGUCCUAGCCGUAAACGCAUGCUUGCUAGCUGCAUGAAUCUACCUUCGGGUGGUAUCGUGUGGCGAAGGUAACCCGUUAAGCAAGCCGCCUGGAAAGUACGGCCGCAAGGCUGAAAUUCAAAGGAAUUGGCGGGGAGGCACACAACCAGUGGAACAUGUGGUUUAAUUCGAGACUAACCGAAGAACCUCACCAGGGUUUGACAUGUAGCUGCACGUCUUAAGAAAUUAAGACUCUCUUGAAGGUGCUACACAGGUGCUGCAUGGCUGUCGUCAGCUCGUUCCGUGAAGGAGUGCCCUUAAGUGGGACAACGAGCGCAACCCCUAUUACAUGUUAGAAAUGUCAUGUAAGACUGCCUUGCCAUUUGGCGGGGAGGAAGGAGGGGCACGACAGUCAAGUCCGCAUGGUCCUUAUGCCCUGGGCUACACACAUGUUACAAUGAGUACGGCAAUGAGUCUGUCUCGAGCACAUAAGUGUAAGCUAAUCAUCUUAAAUGUACUCUCAGUGGGGAUUGAGGUCUGCAACUCGACCUCAUGAACACGGAAUUGGUAGU
rnacentral:rRNA from 1 species